UUGGAGGGCAAGUCUGGUGCCAGCAGCCGCGGUAAUUCCAGCUCCAAUAGCGUAUAUUAAAGUUGUUGCAGUUAAAAAGCUCGUAGUUGAAUUUCGGGACCAUCAUGUCGGUCGUGCCUCGGUACGUACUGGCAUUGUUGGUUUCUCCCUUCUGACGAACCAUGAUGUCAUUUAUUUGGUGUUGUGGGAAAUCAGGACUGUUACUUUGAAAAAAUUAGAGUGUUUAAAGCAGGCUCACGCUUGAAUACAUUAGCAUGGAAUAAUGAAAUAGGACGUUUGAUUCUAUUUUGUUGGUUUCUAGGAUCGACGUAAUGAUUAAUAGGGAUAGUUGGGGGCAUUAGUAUUCAAUUGUCAGAGGUGAAAUUCUUGGAUUUAUUGAAGACUAACUACUGCGAAAGCAUUUGCCAAGGAUGUUUUCAUUAAUCAAGAACGAAAGUUAGGGGAUCGAAGACGAUCAGAUACCGUCGUAGUCUUAACCAUAAACUAUGCCGACUAGGGAUCGGAUGAUGUUAAUUUUUUAAUGACUCAUUCGGCGCCUUACGGGAAAC
rnacentral:rRNA from 1 species